CAAGGUUUCCGUAGGUGAACCUGCGGAAGGAUCAUUAUCGAAAUACACACAGGAUUGUUGCUGGCUAGAUUCAUUUCUAGCAUCGUGCACAUCCAUCUUCAUCAAACCCACUUGUGAACCCUAUUGUAGAUCGCAAGAUCUAUGUCUUUUAAUUCAUCCACAUAUCCAUCGUAUGUCUACAGAACGUCAUAAAUAAUAUAAUACAACUUUCAGCAAUGGAUCUCUUGGUUCUCGCAUCGAUGAAGAACGCAGCGAAUUGCGAUACGUAAUGUGAAUUGCAGAUUUUCAGUGAAUCAUCGAAUCUUUGAACGCACCUUGCGCCCCUUGGUAUUCCGAGGGGCAUGCCUGUUUGAGUGUCAUUUAAUCAUCAACCAUUUGGUCUUUAAUUAGACUUUGUGGAUUGGACUUGGGAAUUGCUGGUUUUAACAAGAAUCAGCUGUCCUUAAAUGCAGUAGCAAGUGAAAGUGAUUUUACGUGGCACGGCCUUUGACGUGAUAAUGAUCGUUGUGGGCUGGAAGCGUUUAAUUAAGCUAGUAGUUUGCUUUAAAGUAGUGGAUUCCUAUGAUCAUUAGUAAUGGAAGCUUGAGUGGAAAGUGAGCUAUGUUGUAAAAAGCAUAGUAAACGGAAAGCUUGAGUGAAAAUGAAAAUGGUAUAGUAGGUAGGAUUGAAGCUAGUUAAACAAGGAAUUGAAAAACGACAUGUGGAAUAUUUCUAUGUGCAUACGGCCGGAAAGCAUUAGUAAUGGAAGCUCUUAGUGAAAAGUGAACUCAUGGAUUUGAUUCCAUGAUAGUAAUGAAAAGCUUUGGAGUGAAAGUGAGAAUGUGUAGUAGGCUGGAAAGCGCAUAGUUAUUGAGAAACUAGUCGAAAGAAGUAAAUUCCGACUUUUUGAUUUGACCUCAAAUCAGGUAGGACUACCCGCUGAACUUAAGCAUAUCAAUAAGCGGAGGAAAAGAAACUAACAAGGAUUCCCCUAGUAACUGCGAGUGAAGCGGGAAAAGCUCAAAUUUUGAAUCUGGCAGUCAUGAUUAGGCUGUCCGAAUUGUAAUCUAGAGAAGCGU
rnacentral:rRNA from 1 species